rnacentral:rRNA from 1 species
AGGUGGUGCAUGGUUGUCGUCAGCUCGUGUCGUGAGAUGUUGGGUUAAGUCCCGCAACGAGCGCAACCCUUGUUCCAUGUUGCCAGCACGUGAUGGUGGGGACUCAUGGGAGACUGCCGGGGUCAACUCGGAGGAAGGUGGGGAUGACGUCAAAUCAUCAUGCCCCUUAUGUCCUGGGCUUCAAACAUGCUACAAUGG